GAUGAACGCUGGCGGCGUGCUUAACACAUGCAAGUCGAACGAACCUUCGGGUUAGUGGCGGACGGGUGAGUAACGCGUGAGAAUCUGCCCUCAGGAGGGGGACAACAGCUGGAAACGGCUGCUAAUACCCCAUAUGCCGCGAGGUGAAAUGAAUUUCGCCUGAGGAUGAGCUCGCGUCUGAUUAGCUAGUUGGUGUAGGUAAUGGCUCACCAAGGCAUCGAUCAGUAGCUGGUCUGAGAGGAUGAUCAGCCACACUGGGACUGAGACACGGCCCAGACUCCUACGGGAGGCAGCAGUGGGGAAUUUUCCGCAAUGGGCGAAAGCCUGACGGAGCAACGCCGCGUGAGGGAUGAAGGCCUCUGGGCUGUAAACCUCUUUUAUCANGGAAGAAGAUCUGACNGUACUUGAUGAAUAANNGCACGCCUAUUCCGUG
rnacentral:rRNA from 1 species